rnacentral:rRNA from 1 species
GACGAACGCUGGCGGCGUGCUUAACACAUGCAAGUCGAACGAAGUGGCGAACGGGUGAGUAACGCGUAAUCACCCUGCCCUUCAGAGGGGGACAACAGUUGGAAACGACUGCUAAUACCGCAUACUGAAGGAGGGGAUUGCGUUUGAUUAGCUGGUGGGAGGGUGAACGGCCCACCAAGGCGAGGAGCCGUGGCCGGUCGGAGUGGGUGAACGGCCACAUUGGGACUGGGACACGGCCCAGACUCCUUCGGGAGGCAGCAGUGGGGAAUCUUCCGCAAUUGACGAAAGUCUGACGGAGCAACGCCGCGGGAGUGAUGACGGCCUUCGGGUUGUAAAGCUCUGUUAAGCGGGACGCGGUACCGGAAUAGAAAGCAACGGCUAACUACGUGCCAGCAGCCGCGGUAAUUC